rnacentral:tRNA from 1 species
CGGGAAGUAGCUCAGCUUGGUAGAGCAACAUGGUUUGGGACCAUGGGGUCGCAGUUUCGAUCCUGUCUUCCCGC